rnacentral:rRNA from 1 species
UGCAAGUCGAGCGAACAGACGAGGAGCUUGCUUCUCUGACGUUAGCGGCGGACGGGUGAGUAACACGUGGAUAACCUACCUAUAAGACUGGGAUAACUUCGGGAAACCGGAGCUAAUACCGGAUAAUAUAUUGAACCGCAUGGUUCAAUAGUGAAAGACGGUUUUGCUGUCACUUAUAGAUGGAUCCGCGCCGCAUUAGCUAGUUGGUAAGGUAACGGCUUACCAAGGCAACGAUGCGUAGCCGACCUGAGAGGGUGAUCGGCCACACUGGAACUGAGACACGGUCCAGACUCCUACGGGAGGCAGCAGUAGGGAAUCUUCCGCAAUGGGCGAAAGCCUGACGGAGCAACGCCGCGUGAGUGAUGAAGGUCUUCGGAUCGUAAAACUCUGUUAUUAGGGAAGAACAAAUGUGUAAGUAACUAUGCACGUCUUGACGGUACCUAAUCAGAAAGCCACGGCUAACUACGUGCCAGCAGCCGCGGUAAUACGUAGGUGGCAAGCGUUAUCCGGAAUUAUUGGGCGUAAAGCGCGCGUAGGCGGUUUUUUAAGUCUGAUGUGAAAGCCCACGGCUCAACCGUGGAGGGUCAUUGGAAACUG